rnacentral:rRNA from 1 species
GCGUAGAGAUCUGGAGGAAUACCGAUGGCGAAGGCAGCUUCCNGGCAUCAUACUGACACUGAGGCUCGAAAGCGUGGGUAGCAAACAGGAUUAGAUACCCUGGUAGUCCACGCCGUNAACGAUGUCUACUAGUCGUUGGGUCCCNUGAGGACUUAGUGACGCAGCUAACGCAAUAAGUAGACCGCCUGGGGAGUACGGCCGCAAGGUUAAAACUCAAAUGAAUUGACGGGGGCCCGCACNAGCGGUGGAGCAUGUGGUUUAAUUCGAUGCAACGCGAAGAACCUUACCUGGUCUUGACAUACACAGAAUCUUGUAGAGAUACGAGAGUGCCUUCGGGAAUUGUGAUACAGGUGCUGCAUGGCUGUCGUCAGCUCGUGUCGUGAGAUGUUGGGUUAAGUCCCGCAACGAGCGCAACCCUUGUCCUUAGUUACCAGCGGGUUAAGCCGGGAACUCUAAGGAUACUGCCAGUGACAAACUGGAGGAAGGCGGGGACGACGUCAAGUCAUCAUGGCCCUUACGACCAGGGCUACACACGUGCUACAAUGGUAGGUACAGAGGGCAGCUACACAGCGAUGUGAUGCGAAUCUCAAAAAGCCUAUCGUAGUCCAGAUUGGAGUCUGCAACUCGACUCCAUGAAGUAGGAAUCGCUAGUAAUCGCGGAUCAGAAUGCCGCGGUGAAUACGUUCCCGGGCCUUGUACACACCGCCCGUCACACCAUGGGAGUUGAUUGCACCAGAAGUGGUUAGCCGA